rfam:Glycine soja cultivar W05 scaffold4710_51, whole genome shotgun sequence.
UACUGACUUGACAAUGACGGUUACGUGUUAAGUUAUAAUUGAAUGUUGACUCUAUAAACGAUAAAAAUGUAUUGUUGUUAUCAACGUCCAAUCAGAACGUGACAUGUGACCGUCAUCGUCC